CCUACGGGGGGCAGCAGUGGGGAAUAUUGCACAAUGGGGGAAACCCUGAUGCAGCAACGCCGCGUGAGUGAAGAAGUAUUUCGGUAUGUAAAGCUCUAUCAGCAGGGAAGAAGAUGACGGUACCUGAUUAAGAAGCCCCGGCUAACUACGUGCCAGCAGCCGCGGUAAUACGUAGGGGGCAAGCGUUAUCCGGAUUUACUGGGUGUAAAGGGAGCGUAGACGGCAUAGCAAGUCUGAAGUGAAAGCCCAAGGCUCAACCAUGGGACUGCUUUGGAAACUGUUAAGCUAGAGUGCUGGAGAGGUAA
rnacentral:rRNA from 1 species